rnacentral:lncRNA from 1 species
CAAGCCAAAAGUCUGCAUGUCCACACAUCUCCUCACCCUCCACAGGAAGAUAUCGGGACAAACCUUCUUAAGAAGCAUUUUGUAUAAGUUGCCUUGUUGCCAAUCGUGAAUCUUCAGAACUGUCUGCCAAAUGCCUGACACUGAAGUGAUUUAAGACCUGCAUUAGAUCAGCUUCAACUGAGUGUAGCAUGCUGCCCUGGGAGGGUGACUGCUCAAUGAGCAUUCCCCUGGCUCUGAGAAGUGAGAAAAAUAAGUUCUGUUAAAAGAAAGAAUUAAUAGUAAUUUGAAUUGAGAAGCCUAAAUCCUGCCCAGACAUACACUCAGAACAAGUUCAGAGCUCAGAAUGCCGCAGUAAUGCAUAUCAAACUUUCUUUCACAUAAACUCCUCGAAACAUCAGGAUGAAAUGGUUAUCAGGAUUCUGAAGGACUAAGGUCUUCAUGUGUAGUGCUAACAGUUAAAAAGAAGGAAAAGCAACCAAAUUGCCCCUAGUCUGCUCAAGAGCCCGUCACUGCUUCCUAAGUGGUCACGCUACAAAAUCAAAGAAGUAACAAGGUAUGGUUGGUUACCCUUCCAAAAAUAACUGCAAGUAUUAAGUGCUGUCUUUAUGGAGAAGCCAGACCUCCUGCAGUAAGAGGGAAAAUUGAAUUGACUUGCAAGAGGCCAGAAUGCCACCCACAGAGGUGCUUGAUUGCCAGAAAAUGCUGAGUUCCUGCUGCUUGGAAUCACUGCUGUCCGAUAUCCGGCAUUGUACUGAAAGGCCGCCCAGGGAGGUGGUGGAGUCACCAUUCCUCGAAGUGUUAAGAACCAUGGAGAUGUAGCACUGAGGGACAUGGUCAGUGGGAGCGGUGGAGGUAAAUUUAAGGGCAUGCAUCUCUGGCUGGACUUUUCUGGAAGGACUUUUCUGCAGCCUUUUGCAUUCUCUAUGUUCAGAGGAUAGAAGCUGUAACCAUUCAGUUCUGCAAUCAGGCUUGGCUCCAGUGAAAAUAAAGUUGAAUUCCAACAUAAGGUAACCGGUAAGCUUUUGUGUGAUGGACCACCACCACCAAGAUAACCAGCUUUCAAAUAUGAGGAUAAUGAACACACUGUUUAAGUCCAUGGAACUCUGAUUUACUGUGGCUGAGGCUCUGGAAGAACUUUUUUUUUUCUCUUUGUUUUGUAGACUCAGGAUGGAAAACUGAAAGAAAGGAAUGGAAAUGUUUCAGAGAGGAGACAGACAGCUGGUGGAGUUGCAGAUUGCUUUGUCAAGGAACAACAAAGAUUCUGCUGAAGUUGAUAUUAGGCCAACAGGGAUUCUGUGGAGAGUUUCCCUUCAACAAGCAUAGCAUCUCUCAGAGAGUUCACAAGCAGGAGGAAUCAAAAUGUGGGAGACCAGGAGGUCAGGACAGCAUGCUUGAUUGCCUACAUGAAGAGUAACAAGCUUCUCCUCUGGUCCCAUGUGAGCCACCUGGAAACCAUUGAGGAGCACAAGAGCCCCAGUAUCAUCUCAGUGGAUGUUUCAGAGAAACUGUUUGAAUGUCUGUGCUAGAAAGGUACAUGAAUUUAUCCUGCAAUGAAUACAGAAGCAUAGGAGAUGGAGGACAGGACCUUGACCUGAACAGAUCUGAAGAAUGAGAUACAGAAAACAGAAAAAAAAAAUCAACUUUUCAUGAAGAGUUGAAAGAAAGAAAAAAGAAGAAAGUGCACGUCCUUCAAAAAGGAAAUCCUCCAGCAAAUCUGCUAAUGAAGUCCCUGCUCAUUUUGCAUUCUGGAUUUGCCCAAAGAGGUGCUAAAUAUCAGCAGGUAAUGGAGGACGGGAACAAUACUGUUGAGCAACGACAAGCAAGUGAGAUUAAAGCUGAAAAUACUGAUUCUACAAGAACUGCUUGUUCAUGGGAAUGCUGCUGCUACAUGCCAGAAAAUCUAAAGAAGAAAAAUAAUGAAAAGGUGAAGUAAUUUCUUUGAAUUCACAGUAAAUCAGCAGACUCAUGGAUCGAAGUCAGACUAAUAGACCAAGGACAAACACAACUGCGGGGAUUGGCCUCUUCUCCCAGCGUAGGAGAGUUUCAAAGAGGAACCUGACAGAUAUUUGCUCCUGCUGGGCUGAGCUGUGAUGCUGGAGAUUUCAAGAAGAUACUCCACAGCAGUUGAGUGACUUUCUCAUUGCAAGGCAACGCUGGGAAAAGCAUCCUCUCCAGGUAGGAAGAAAGUGUAAAAAGAAGUCCGGAAAUGAGGCUUAUAUCUGAUGGAUAUGGGGUGCUGGCAGGGUCAUGCCUGGAAAGAAGUGGUGCACCAAAACUGACAAGGUAGGGAAACCUUCCAUCCAGGUUUACAGAGAAUAGCAGAGGGUUCACUCUCAUUUUGAUCUGAUAUAAUGCUUUGAAUCUGGGAAAAUAUAUGGUAUAACUUUUCAUUACAAAAUAUUUAUUUUUUAACAUGUGAGACUAGAUGCAUUUCACAGUUUUAUUUUGCUGUUUCCUGUCUGUCUUUCUUCAACUCUCGUGCCUGUUAAAUGUCAAAAAAAAAAAAAAACUUAUGCGAAGAGGCCAUGAGGGUGCAGGUCUGCUAAAGAGUCUGAGGGUAAUCAAUAAUGUGGAUUUGAUUUUCAGCCAUGCCAAAUAGCUCUGGUUCCACAUGGCAUUAUCAGCACCAGUAAGCAGUCAGUGUUAUACAUGGAGAUCUUUAAGUGCUCUUGGAUUGUUUCUUGAUUGGUAUCUGUGGGGAAAAAGAAGGUAACUUGACUUGUAAAGUUUCAAGAUUCAACCCACAUUUAUUUAUUGUUUCACAAUUUCCAGACUCCUCAUGGGAGUUACAAACAUAAGCCUGCAUCCUUGGGAGUACCAUGUGCUCCUGCACAUCAGUCUUGGGCUGCUGGAGCUUUAUUGCUGCUUUCACAGCUGUUGUGUUCCCAUACAUAAUUAAUAAGCAAACACUUCAUAAGGUAUUGUGAAUGGAUAAUGUUAUUAUAUUGUCCAUCGCACAUUGAAAUCAAAAUGGACCAAGACAAAUUUUUACUAGUAUCUGAACAUUAUUUCUAAGGAGGAGAUGAAAGUGUUUCACAACAUAUUGAUCUGUACCUGAGCGUAAAUGAUUAAUGUACUGUGGUCCAACUGCAGCUGGAUUUCUUUUGACAACAGCCAUGAAACAAGCUAUAAUCUCAUAUCCAUUGAUAGAUCGAUAUAUAUAGGUAUGUAUUUUUAUAUAUAGAUGCAUUUACCUUUAUCGUGUGAUUGAGUGGCAGACCUUGCAUUAUAAAUCAAGGCUUGGCAAAAGUGGAAGUAUAAACUUGACACAUUUCUG